CGCAGGCCACGGCCGGAGCCGCACGGGUGUCGGCGAGCCCCGGAGACGCCGGAGGAGAGACUGCGGGGAGGAGCGGAGGCCAGGAAUCGCUACGAGGCGUUUUAGCAACGACGGGCCGUGUGUUGUUGGCCUGCAGGUCCGUCAGCUCCAGCCCGUUGGUCUGUCCUUUCCAGCGUUGCCCGCUCUGACAGCGUUGCUUCAGGAUCCUGGGUCUUCUAGUUAUACUUGGUGGUUUUUAUAGACAAGACACCAGCUGACAAAAUGAAUUCAUGGAGGACAACAGCUGUGGCUUCCUGGAGGACAAGGUGGUUCACACCCACAUGUGGCAGGACCCGCCCAUGUUUGCCGGAGAGGUGCUGUCUUGCCUGCCAGCAUCCCAAGCAAAGCCAUUUUCCAUGACAGGCAGAACUGUAAUGCGCCACCACGGCCACUUGGGCAAUAAGUUGAUGGAGCUGGUUUUCAAAGCCAGCCUUCUCCAGGGCUUACACCCUACCCCAUGUUAGUAAACAUCACUCUUGUCAGCUGCUGCCAUUUGCUACCCUCACAUCUCCCAGCUAUCCUCCUAUUCAUCUUUGAAUGUUGCAGUACUGUGACAUCUGCAUUUCCCCAGCAGAGUAACAACUCUGGCCAAAUGUUGCUUCUUCACUGAAGCUACUUGAUGCUUCAAGACAGUCUUUGCUGCUCCUGCAGGUGCCCCAUGCCUAUUUGGCCAGGGGGCUACUUCUAAAUGAUAACCUAGUGCAGGAUGAAGCAACAGCCAAUGAGUGCCACGCUGAAUGAGUCAAGUCAUAGGCUGAAGGCCUUGCUAUAGCUAGUAGCUGCUUGCUCUGAGCUGCCUCCCACUGUCGCCCUGUGGUCAGAAGUCAUAGCACAUCUUCUGGUGCUUGGCCUAGUGAUCAAGGUGAGACGUGCCAACCUGGCUGUGCUGCUGCUUUUACGUAUUGUUGGAGGCCUCUGGCAGCAUCCCUGCCUUCACCACCACCUGCCUUCUCUCUCUGCCAUCAGCCGUGGCUGGUGUGUGCCCAUCUACUCACCUAGCCGCUCAGUGCAUAUGCGCUUGCAUUAUUGUGCAGAUGUGAGUCUGAGAAUGACUAGAAUAUAGCUUGGGGAUUUAGGCGUCUUUUUACUCCUGUGUAACUUUUCUCAAUAAAAGUCACAUAUAAAGUGUUCUCACUGAA